UCAACCUGAGAGUUUGAUCCUGGCUCAGAGCGAACGCUGGCGGCAGGCCUAACACAUGCAAGUCGAACGGAUCCUUCGGGAUUAGUGGCGGACGGGUGAGUAACACGUGGGAACGUGCCUUUUGGUUCGGAACAACUCAGGGAAACUUGAGCUAAUACCGGAUAAGCCUUUCGAGGGAAAGAUUUAUCGCCAUUAGAGCGGCCCGCGUAGGAUUAGCUAGUUGGUGGGGUAAAGGCCCACCAAGGCUACGAUCCUUAGCUGGUCUGAGAGGAUGAUCAGCCACAUUGGGACUGAGACACGGCCCAAACUCCUACGGGAGGCAGCAGUGGGGAAUCUUGCGCAAUGGGCGAAAGCCUGACGCAGCCAUGCCGCGUGAAUGAUGAAGGUCUUAGGAUUGUAAAAUUCUUUCACCG
rnacentral:rRNA from 1 species